rnacentral:misc_RNA from 1 species
UGGGAAGGGAAAGAGGCCCGGCAAGGGUGGGAAUCGGUUCUGGAAGAGUGUUGGUCUUGGUUUUAAGACUCCCCGUGAUGCAAUCGAUGGGACCUACAUUGACAAGAAAUGCCCGUUCACUGGCAAUGUAUCUAUCAGGGGGCGUAUCCUAGCAGGCACUUGCCACAGUGCCAAAAUGAACCGCACCAUCAUUGUGCGCCGGAACUACCUUCACUAUGUGAAGAAGUAUCAAAGGUAUGAGAAGAGGCACUCCAACAUCCCUGCUCAUGUAUCGCCCUGCUUUCGUGUGAAAGAAGGAGACCAUGUUAUCAUUGGCCAGUGCAGGCCAUUGGCGAAGACAGUGAGGUUCAAUGUGUUGAAAGUCAUUCCAGCAGGAUCGACUGGCGGGGCUGGGAAGAAAGCUUUUGCUGCAGUCUGAUGAAGUUAAAGGGAAUUUGCGGUCGCAUGGCUGAUAAUUUGAGGUUUUGCUCUUAAUUUAAGAGAGAACAAAGAGAACAAUGUUGUUUAAUUGUUGUUUCGACAGUUACUUUUCAUCUGGUUUGAGUACUAGUUGUCCAAUGAACAUUUUUCUAGCCUGCUAUUUGUUGGAUGAG